rnacentral:rRNA from 1 species
GACGAACGCUGGCGGCGUGCUUAACACUUGCAAGUCGAACGGUGAAGCCCAGCUUGCUGGGUGGAUCAGUGGCGAACGGGUGAGUAACACGUGAGUAACCUGCCUCUGACUCUGGGAUAAGCCUUGGAAACGGGGUCUAAUACUGGAUACGAGACGCUCGGGCAUCCGAAGUGUCGGGAAAGAUUUAUCGGUCAGAGAUGGACUCGCGGCCUAUCAGCUUGUUGGUGGGGUAAUGGCCUACCAAGGCGACGACGGGUAGCCGGCCUGAGAGGGCGACCGGCCACACUGGGACUGAGACACGGCCCAGACUCCUACGGGAGGCAGCAGUGGGGAAUAUUGCACAAUGGGCGCAAGCCUGACGCAGCGACUCCGCGUGGAGGAUGACGGCCUUAGGGUUGUAAACUCCUUUUGACUGGGAAGCUCUGAUAGCAAUAUCAGGGGACGGUACCAGUAGAAUAAGCAUCUGCUAACCACGUGCCAGCCGCCGCGGUAA